UGGAUCUCUUCGCUGCCAAUCGGCUGCCGCCUCCGAAGGACCUGAGACAGGAGAGCGAGGCAAAGAAAAGGGCCGUCAGGAACUGACGCACAGGUAAGUAAACUACACCUUCCACCCAGAGGUUCCUGUCACUUCUCUUCGACUGAUCUCUAACCCUGCAUUUCUCUCCUUUCUCUCGCCACGCUCCCUGGACCUCGUCCCGAUUCCGUCUGCCGCCACCGGACCCGACCUGGAAGCUGGACUCCAGACCUAAAAGGCAAGAAAUCGAGGAAAACAACUAGCCCCCUAUCUGUGGGGAGGCCCCAAACGUCCUGGACUACACACUGGGACCCCGAGCAAUUGCACCCGUCCCUUGCUCCACCAAGGAAAACAAAAAAAGAAACGAGUGUCCAAAAAUAAAUUGUAUUUGUUGUAAAUCCAAAAAAAACAUGUUAGUGAAAUCCUUAAAUAAUAAAAUGAUUGUUACCCACCAAUGAUAGUAUACAAUAGCCAGAAAGAAGAAAACACAACAAAACAAGUAAAAAAAAAUACAGCCAACCACCCUAUAUUGUCCCGACACAACAAAAAGAAACAAGAAAAAAAAAACUCCAAACCCGUUCCUGAAUAUGGUCCCAGUGCUAGUCCGUCCUCACAACAAAGUUCUUGUUGCCAAAUAAUCGUUUUCCUGAAGUAUUCCAAACAGUAAAUCUUCCUCAGUAGAUUUCCCCAAGGCUGUGCGCUUGGCCUGCACACACUCCAACUGGUUCCUCCUGGUUCCUCCUGGUUCCUCCUGGUUCCUCCUGUCUUCCAUGUUCUUCCUCUGCUCUCAAAUCCAGCCCCUUAUAUAGUCCUGCCUGGACCGCCAUUGGCUGUGGCGCUAACCAGGUGGGACUUCUAGUUGCUGGGGAGAAAAUGCUCUACCCACAGUCAGUCAUAACCACAUAAAACCAACUGGGAGUUGAGAUAAGCAGAUUCCAGUAAAAAAAUAAACAGUUCACAAAAACCGAUUUAAAAUUCGUCACUUAUGACACACACACACACACUUGUUUUCUCUUUAUAAGUCUCUUAACUAUGGCUCACGACUGCAGUGACAUACAUUAAUGUGUGAUCAUUUUUUCUGACCCAUAUAUUAAUAUAGACAGGUUUGUUAUAGAAUAUGUGCUAUAUAUACCCAUUGUGUCUGCUACAAAGGAGUCCUGGCAAGGCAGUUUCACAGGUUCUACAUGGAAUGCAUCAAAACAUUCUGGAGUUCAGCGUAUUAUAGAUCUAUGCUUCUUUAUAGUUAAUACACUAGGGCAAUGUUCUUUAAAUAUGUCAGAAAGUGAAGGUUCAGGAUGACAUGUGAUUGCCAAGGACCUUGUGAAGUGAAACCCAAUGAACCAUGGAGCUCCUUUUGCAUUCCUGUUUGUUUCUUUUUUCUGCUACAAAUCUCAUAACAGUGAAAGAAAGAAUGUCCCUCCUGCUCUACUCAUUGUAUACACACUGUCUUUGCAUUUAGCAUCUGACUGACAACCAAGUGUGUGCUUUAGCUGUUUCACUGCAUGGUAUUGAUCUGUGUGUAAUGAUAAAGCUAUUGCAAAUUUCAUUUGAAAUGUGAAGGAAAUGUUGCCUUACACCAAUGGAAGGAAUUGUCUCUGAAAACCACAUCUUAAUAAACAGACUUAUAGACUAA